GCUUACGGCCAUACCACACUGAGAACGCCCGAUCUCGUCUGAUCUCGGAAGCUAAGCAGGGUCGGGCCUGGUUAGUACUUGGAUGGGAGGCCGCCUGGGAAUACCAGGUGCUGUAAGCU
rnacentral:rRNA from 1 species